GGAGGAGCCGGCGCGCGCGGCGGAGGUGGGAGAUUGUGAGGGGAGAGCGGCUGAGGAGGGAGCUGAGAUUUUGGACGUUUUGGUGUGGCGCAGUCUCCGCAUGCGGGGCCAGGCCUUUGUCACCUCCAAGGAGAUGAGCAGCGGCACCAACGCCCUGCGCUCCAUGCAGGGCUUCCCCUUCUACGGCCAACCCGUGGUGAGACAGAGACUGGGGCAAUUCUGACAUUUGGGGAAAGAACUGGAAUUCUGGGGGAAACCGCCAAACUCUGGCCUCAAAUAUCCCCAAAUCCAACUUGGAAUCCCUCCAAAUUCACCCUGAACAGCCCAAAGCUUCCCCUGCUAUGACAAGCCCAUGGUGAAACAGAAAUGCUGGGGGAAAAUCCUGGAAUUCUGGGAAAAAAAAAAAACAAAAACCCCGAGGAAAAGAACCAAAUCCAACCAGGAACCCCCAAAGCUUCCCCUUCUAUGACAAGCCCAUGGUGAGACCCAAAUCCCUGGGAAAAUCCUGACGUUAGGGAAAAAAUCCUGAAAUUCUGGAAAAAAUCCUCAAUUCCUUGGGGGGGAAAAACCCCAAAAUGCAGCCUCAAAUAUCCCCAAAAUCCAACCAGGAGCCCCCCCAAAGCUUCCCCUUCUAUGACAAGCCCAUGGUGAAAGAGAAAUCUGCAGAGAAAUCCUGGAAUUUUUUUUUAAUUCCUGAAAUUCUGGGAAAAACCCCAAAAUCUUGGGGAAAAAACCCAAAUCCAGCCUCAAGUAUCCCUAAAAUCCACCCUACAACCCCCCAAAGCUUCCCCUUCUGGGACAAAUCCACAAUGAGAGCAGAAUCCUGGGGAAAAUACCCAAAUUUUGGGAAAAAUCCUGAAACUCUGGGGAAAAAAGCCCAAAAUUCAAUUGGGAACCUACCCAAAAUCCUGUGGAAAAUACCCAAAUGCAGCCAGGAACCCCCCAGAAUUCACCCUGAAUCUCCCAAACCUUCCCCUUCUACCCCAUGGUGAGACCCAAAUCCAGGGGAAAAUCCACAGAUUCUUGAAAAAACAGGAAAUUUGGAGAAAAGCCCGAAAUCUGUGGAAGAAAGGGAAAUCCAGCCAGAAAUCCUCCCCCAAUCCCCUGGGAAUGACCCCAAGUCCCUGUUGGAACCUCCCCAAUUGCUCUGAAUUCUCCCAAAAUCCUGCUGAAAUUCCCCAAAUUCCUUCUAGGACUUUCCAAAAUCCCUCAAAAACUACUCUAAUUGCUGUUGGAACUGCCCCAAAUCCCAUCUAGAGCCUCCCCAAAUCCCUCAGAACCCCUGAAAAUCUCUCAGAAAACCCCAAAAUCCCUCUUGGAACUGCCCCAAAUCCCAGAUAAUUCCCCCAAAGCCCUCAGAAAGCCCCAAAUCCCCUCUGGGACCUCGCCCAGAUCCCCCCAAAAUCCUCGGGAACGACCCCAAAACCCCCUGAGCCGUCCCCAGAUCCCCCUGGACUGAUCCCAAAUCCCCUCUGGAAGCAGCCCACAGUCCCCUGGCACCGGUCCAAAUCCCCUCUGGAACCUCCCCGAAUCCCUUGGGCAGCCCCAAAUCCCCGAGAAGCCCUGGGCAGCCCUGGGCAAAGCCCCAAGUGCCUGUGGGCAGUGCCCGCAGUCCCUGCUGGAGAUGCCCCGGGUGCC